AGUGAACGCUGGCGGUAGGCCUAACACAUGCAAGUCGAACGGCAGCACAGUAAGAGCUUGCUCUUACGGGUGGCGAGUGGCGGACGGGUGAGGAAUACAUCGGAAUCUACUUUUUCGUGGGGGAUAACGUAGGGAAACUUACGCUAAUACCGCAUACGACCUACGGGUGAAAGCAGGGGAUCUUCGGACCUUGCGCGAUUGACAGAGCCGAUGUCGGAUUAGCUAGUUGGCGGGGUAAAGGCCCACCAAGGCGACGAUCCGUAGCUGGUCUGAGAGGAUGAUCAGCCAACCGGGAACUGAGACACGGUCCAGACUCCUACGGGAGGCAGAAGUGGGGAAUAUUGGACAAUGGGCGCAAGCCUGAUCCAGCCAGACCGCGUGGGUGAAGAAGGCCUUCGGGUUGUAAAGCCCUUUUGUUGGGAAAGAAAAGCAGCAGGUUAAUACCCCGCUGUUCUGACGGUACCCAAAGAAUAAGCACCGGCUAACUUCGUG
rnacentral:rRNA from 1 species